CAACUACUCCCUCUGUCCCAAAUUUCUUGUCUUAGAUUUGUCUAGAUACGGAUGUAUCUAAUACUAAAAUGUGACUUGAUACAUCUGUAUCUAGACAAAUCUAAGACAAGAAUUGUGGGACGGAGGGGGUAAUUU
rfam:Triticum aestivum genome assembly, contig: Triticum_aestivum_CS42_TGACv1_scaffold_224053_3B